rnacentral:rRNA from 1 species
AUUGAACGCUGGCGGCAGGCCUAACACAUGCAAGUCGAACGAGUGGCGGACGGGUGAGUAAUGUCUGGGAAACUGCCUGAUGGAGGGGGAUAACUACGGGAAACGGUAGCUAAUACCGCAAACCAUCAGAUGUGCCCAGAUGGGAUUAGCUAGUUGGUGGGGUAACGGCUCACCAAGGCACCGAUCCCUAGCUGGUCUGAGAGGAUGACCAGCCACCCUGGAACUGAGACACGGUCCAGACUCCUACGGGAGGCAGCAGUGGGGAAUAUUCGGCAAUGGGCGAAAGCCUGAUCCAGCCAUGCCGCGUGUGUGAAGAAGGUCUUCGGAUUGUAAAGCACUUUUAGUUGGGAGGCGUUACCGACAGAGUAAGCACCGGCUAACUCUGUGCCAGCCGCCGCGGUAAUUC